AUUGAACGCUAGCGGCAUGCUUAACACAUGCAAGUCGAACGGUAACAGGCCUAGCUUGCUAGGUGCUGACGAGUGGCGGACGGGUGAGUAAUGCGUAGGAAUCUACCUUGUAGUGGGGGAUAACUUGGGGAAACCCAAGCUAAUACCGCAUGAGUCCUAAGGGAGAAAGCAGGGGACCGAAAGGCCUUGUGCUAUGAGAUGAGCCUGCGUCGCAUUAGCUAGUUGGUGGGGUAAAGGCCUACCAAGGCGACGAUCCGUAGCUGGUCUGAGAGGGCGACCAGCCACACUGGGACUGAGACACGGCCCAGACUCCUGCGGGAGGCAGCAGUGGGUAAUAUUGGACAAUGGGCGCAAGCCUGAUCCAGCAAUGCCGCGUGUGUGAAGAAGGUCUUAGGAUUGUAAAGCACUUUAAGUUGGGAGGAAGAGCAGUUAACUAAUAUUUGACUGUUUUGACGUUACCGACAGAAUAAGCACCGGCUAACUUCGUGCCAGCAGCCGCCGUAAUAC
rnacentral:rRNA from 1 species